GGUUCCAUGGUCUAGUGGUGAGGACAUUGGACUCUGAAUCUAGUAACCUGAGUUCAAAUCUCAGUGGAACCU
rfam:Picea glauca, whole genome shotgun sequence.